UACGUAGGGGGCUAGCGUUGUCCGGAUUCAUUGGGCGUAAAGAGCGUGUAGGCGGCCAGGUAGGUCGGUUGUGAAAACUGGAGGCUCAACCUUCAGAGGUCGACCGAAACCAUCUGGCUAGAGUCCGGGAGAGGAGAGUGGAAUUCCUGGUGUAGCGGUGAAAUGCGCAGAUAUCAGGAAGAACACCCGUGGCGAAAGCGGCUCUCUGGAACGGUACUGACGCUGAGACGCGAAAGCGUGGGGAGCGAACAGG
rnacentral:rRNA from 1 species